UGGCUGGCCACAGGGGAGCUGCUAAUGGUAUUUGUUUUUAAUUUUAGAGGAGUUCCCAGCCCACCGAUAAAGAGAGAAACCAAGGAACCAAACAGUUUUUCUGGUAGCAUUUGUGAGAUGAAAUGCAAUUCUGACAGGACAUGGAUUGUGAAGUGAGAAAGCAAAAUAGGCCAACUUUGGGCACCACCUCCUUCUGUCUGCUUCAACAGAGUUUUUCUUCUCUUUAUGACCAUCCUUUAGGACGAGCAAUAGACUCCAAUGUCUUCUGAGCAACUAUGUGUAAGCUCAGCUGUCAACAUGAUAUCCUCACUUUCUAGGCUCCCUAAGAGUUGAGUGGCUCUGGGGGAUCCCCAACUCCCACUGCACACUGUCACCUGCCUUUGACCAGGCAAAGAAGACAUGCAAAGUUGUAACAGCAGAGGUUCUUUACAUUAACUAUCUCUAACUGAUAAUUAAAUCACACUGAUGAUUCAGCAUGGGAGAAGUAAAGAAAAAGAAUUGGCAAGAAUUGAAUUUGGUAAGCAACAAAUGUGAAGUUUUCUGUAAAAGUUAGAAUGAAGGAGGGAAGAAGAAGAAGAAAGAGAAGGAGGAAGAAGAGGAAUAGGAAGAAGAAGAGGAAGAGGAAGAAGAAAUGGCAUUAGUUUCAAAAUACUGCUUUUGGUUUAACUUUGAGUUGUCCUUGGUUUUUCUCUCAUUCAGUUGCUCCAGUUUAAAGGAAAGUUUAGAAUCUAGUGCAAACAUUAUCAAAUCACAGCAUUCCAGGAGCAAUAUCCUAUCCCUUCAUCCUAAGAAGAUACUACCCCUUCAGACCUCCUCAGAAGACUGGGGGCAAUGGUCCAGAAAAGCUUAACUGAAUAAAGUAUUAAUCUAGUACUUGCUACAACGAGAAAGGCACUAUCACAACAGAUCAGCCUCCAAUAUUUUCGUUGCCAUGGCAUGGGCAUUUCAACCUCUCCAGCAACCACAACAAAACCCAGACUGGGGCUCUUUUGAUACUUGGCCAGUUGUCUGACUCUCCCAUUGACCAUUAUAGUUGGCUCUGGCCAUGCAGAGCCUUGAUCUUCACUGUGUAUAUGCUUCCCAAAUGAUCACUUUCACCAAUGAUCCUUGUUUUGUUCUAAAUGAUUUAGCUUACUCUCUUCCAUGGAAGUUUCUUUCUCUCCUUCAGUCUCUAGGUCAUGACUCUGUUCAAGACCGUUUACAGUGUCAAGUACUAUCAUGUAUUUUUCUCCCCUCUUUUAAAAAACAAAGGUUAGGCUAAUACCUAAUUCAUAAAGAGAGUUCAGUACUCUUUUCACAUUGGCAAGGUCUCCUGUUAAUAUCACUGGCAACAAAAGGAAAGUGUCAUCCUUGACCACCAAAAACAGUUCCCUUAAGUGUAUCUGUGGUGAUUUUGUCUGGGAGAGAUGAGCUUGGGCUCUGGAGAUUAAAUUCUUUGGUGACAGAACUGAAGUGGGUAUGCAAGAUUCAGUGAAGAAGUUCCCCAAAGCCUUAAGAGAAGCAUGGGUUAAUGUGAGUAUAUUUUAAAAGGUCAAUUAUUUUUUUCUAUAGCUUUGCUUUGGUGUAUUCAUGUCCUCUUCGGGCUUACCUGAUACACGUUUUUAAGUAUCUGUUGAGAGCUAUGAAUUUAGAGCUUCUUUUUAAAACAGAGAUAAUAAAUAGGGUUUGUUUAACUAGAAAGGUGAACAACUUCCUUAAAAUUUUUUAACUUGGAAUGGUGGAUUUGGACAGAUGCUACGGGGAAGAGGGAAAGGCAAGUAUCAAUGUUGUAAUCUUAGGAAAGAAGCUUCAACUCAGAAUUUUUCAAAUUGAUGCGCACACAUGUGAUAGUGUUCAGACACAUUCAACUUAGCUAUUGAUAUGGGUUGUGUUCCUUUUUCACUAAGCCAGGAUUUUCCAAAGCUGUCACCUUGGACUCUGGAAGAGUCUCUCCGCAUCUUCACUCUCAUGUUAUUAUUCUCUACACAAUCUAUUACUUUUCCUGUGGUGCAAGAUUCUCUUAACAGUUACAAAAGAGCUAUCAAACUGAUUGGUGCUAAUAUUUAAUAAGGCAAUAAAAAUAAAACUAACAAAGAAAAGUUAGGAAAACCUCCAACAUAAAAACUAAACUUUUAGGCACUGUUAAGGUCUCUGCUUAGUAAGGACAGUCUAUGGUGGAGCAGCUGGUAGGUUCUGAUCCUUCUUCCAAUUAUGAAGUUGCCUGUUUCAAAAGAAAUCUUUUACCCCACUGGUUUUCAAUGUUUAUUGCACUGUUCCCUCACUGUUAUCCUAAAGGACUUUACCACAUGUAUGGCCUUGCUCUUUGGUUAGCCCGAUCUAGUUUCACCCAUGGAUGGAAAAAUAUGCUCAGGUUGAAAGGAUAUCUCAGUAUGGACAAGGUUGCAUUUGUGUUAAAAAGAGCACAUACCACUGUCCUUUGUCACGCUGAAAUGUGCACCAGCAGGGGGUUUCGACAGUUAAGACUUUCACAUCUUAUCAGUUGGCUUCCUCUUUAUUAUAACUCUUACUGAAAGCUCACUUGGAAAAAACAUUGGCUAAGUUUCUUCUUAAAUGUCCUCCACUUGUAUUAACCAGCUUCUUUACAAUAAGACAGGUUUUAUCAGCAUGGCAUUUUUUAGGUUUGAAAGUUGGCAAAGAUUCCACAAAUUCUCACCAAGUCUGCUAAGAGAAAACAUGAUGAAAAUAACCCUUAAUUUCUGUGACGUCCUAGUUUCAUAACUCGCCUCUUUCUUUCCUUUAUCUAAUACACUCCCUUCCAGCACAAGUACAUACAUUUCAGUAGUGCAAUGCAGUGCAGUCAUACUUAGUGCAAAAAAAGCCCUCUUACAGACUCAAAGCUGAACCCUAAACAGCUCUUAUCUUACUAAUGCUUACCAGUGCUACAAAAGUGGAAAAUUCAGUCUUCACCUCACACUACUGUGAGUCAUCUCUUUUGUUGUCCCUGUUUGUUUCAGCUCAAAGAACAGAAACAACUAGCAUGUAUCUAUGCAUUACUCUGUAAAACAUUAAGCCAGUAGGCAGAAAAUAAAGGGAAGUAGUCAAGUUGACAUCAGGGAUAUUAUUUAAAAGAGGAAAAUAGCUAUUUGAUGCAAAGAUCAGUAGUGGUUUUUAAUAGUUUUCAUCAUAUCAAAUGGCUCUGAUACUAAGGAGUAUGUGUACAGAAAAAGAUAAAGCUUUCCUGUUUUCUAAAACAUGGUCCUAAAUUUAAUAGUGCUGGGCUCUUCUUAGGAAUAGUGCAAACAGCUAUUUCUCUAGGGUUACAAGCAGCUGCCACCUUACAUAACAUAAAAAGGUACACUAGGAGAGCUUACUUUUCUACACUGACCACUUUUUACCUCACUUUAUUCCUCUUUAUUCACUUUUUUUCCUGACUACACACAGAUACACAUAUACAUACACAUACAUACAAAUUCUCAAGGCCACUCUCAGAAAGAUGGAUUGAAAAUUGGUAUAAAUAGCUCAAUGAGACACUCAUGCAAAAAGUACAAUUAUUAAAUAUAUAAGUAAAUUACUAUAUCAAAAUUAAGAUUCUGCAUUGUUUCUCUUUUUGUAUUAUUCAGUUAUCUAAAAAAUUCAUGGUAGGAUUCCUUAUGGAAUUUACUUCUUGCUUAAGAUGAAUCUAGCAUUAGUUUGGGAUGUAGCAUUAUGAGCGAUUCUGGAGAAACAUUUUGCAUUUGGUAACUCUCAAGAAUUUGUCUCCAGUUUGUCUGGAUUAUUACUCUGCAAAUGUAAGCCUGCAUCUCUGCUCUGCCGUACAUGCAUGCUGGAAGUUUCAGGAGAAUCAGUACCCAGUUUAGAAAAGAUCAUGAAAACAAAGGAAUUUGGAACAGUGGAGUCAGCACGAUCAAAUUAAUUUAAAGUCAAGUUAUCAUAAAUCUUCUCUACCAUCAGCUUCUCACCUUUAUUUGUCAUGAUGAGGAUUAGCAAGAUCCUACUUUCAUUUAUUCUUAAAACCACAAUUCUUU
ensembl:lncRNA